UACGGAGGGGGCUAGCGUUGUUCGGAAUUACUGGGCGUAAAGCGCGCGCAGGCGGUUCGUUAAGUUCGUUGUGAAAGCCCCGGGCUCAACCUGGGAACUGCAAUGGAAACUGGCGGGCUUGAGUGUGGCAGAGGGGGGUGGAAUUCCGCGUGUAGCAGUGAAAUGCGUAGAGAUGCGGAGGAACACCGAUGGCGAAGGCAGCCCCCUGGGCCAACACUGACGCUCAGGCACGAAAGCGUGGGGAGCAAACAGG
rnacentral:rRNA from 1 species